AUUGAACGCUGGCGGCAGGCCUAACACAUGCAAGUCGAGCGAGCGGCGGACGGGUGAGUAAUGUCUGGGAAACUGCCUGAUGGAGGGGGAUAACUACUGGAAACGGCAGCUAAUACCGCAUCCCAUCAGAGUUGCUCAGGUGGGAUUAGCUAGUAGGUGGGGUAACGGCUCACCUAGGCGACGAUCCCUAGCUGGUCUGAGAGGAUGACCGGCCACACUGGGACUGAGACACGGUCCAGACUCCUACGGGAGGCAGCAGUGGGGAAUAUUGCACAAUGGACGCAAGCCUGAUGCAGCCAUGCCGCGUGUGUGAAGAAGGCCUUCGGAUUGUAAAACACUGUCAGCAGGGAAGCGUUACCCGAAGAGGAAGCACCGGCUAACUCCGUGCCAGCAGCCGCGGUAAUUC
rnacentral:rRNA from 1 species